rnacentral:tRNA from 1 species
GCCUUCGUGGUGUAGUGGUCAGCAUGCUUGACGCGGAACUGAGAGAUCCGUGGUUCGAUUCCCGGCAAAGGCG